rnacentral:rRNA from 1 species
GACGAACGCUGGCGGCGUGCUUAACACAUGCAAGUCGAGCGGUAAGGCCCUUUCGGGGGUACACGAGCGGCGAACGGGUGAGUAACACGUGGGUGACCUGCCCUUAGCUCUGGGAUAAGCCUGGGAAACUGGGUCUAAUACCGGAUAUGACUCCAUGACGCAUGUUGUGGGGUGGAAAGCCUUGUGCGGCUAGGGAUGGGCCCGCGGCCUAUCAGCUUGUUGGGUGGGGUGANGGCCUACCAAGGCGACGACGGGUAGCCGGCCUGAGAGGGCGACCGGCCACACUGGGACUGAGACACGGCCCAGACUCCUACGGGAGGCAGCAGUGGGGAAUCUUGCGCAAUGGGCGAAAGCCUGACGCAGCGACGCCGCGUGAGGGAUGACGGCCU